CCGGGGAUGCCUUCAUGUCUGUGCCAUGGAUGCCAUAUUCAUGCCAGGGUUGGCAUAUUCAUGCCAGGAGUGCCAUAUUCGUGCUGGGGAUGCCAUAUUUAUGCUGGGGAUGCCACCAUGUCUGUGCCAGGAGUGCCAUUUUUAUGCCAGGGAUGCCAUAUUCAUGCCAGGGAUGCCCUCAUAUCUGUGCCAGGGGUGCCAUAUUCAUGCCAGGAAUGCCAUAUUCAUGCCAGAGAUGCCAUAUUCAUGCUGGGGAUGCCUUCAUGUCUGUGCCAGGGAUGCCAUACUCAUGCUGGGAAUGCCAUAUUCAUGCCAGGGUUGGCAUAUUUAUGCUGGGGAUGCCAUCGUGUCUGUGCCAGGAGUGCCAUAUUUGUGCCAUGGAUGCCAUAUUCAUGCUAGGAGUGCCAUAUUCAUGCCAGGGUUGCCAUAUUUAUGCUGGGGAUGCCAUCAUGUCUGUGCCGGGGGUGCCAUAUUCGUGCCAUGGAUGCCAUAUUCAUGCCAGGGAUGCCGUAUUCGUGCCAGGGGUGCCCUCAUGUCUGUGCCAGGAGUGCCAUUUUCAUGCCGGGGAUGCCAUAUUUAUGCUGGGGGUGCCAUCAUGUCUGUGCCAGGGAUGCCAUACUCAUGCCAGAGAUGCCAUAUUCAUGCUGGGGAUGCCUUCAUGUCUGUGCCAUGGAUGCCAUAUUCAUGCCAGGGUUGGCAUAUUUAUGCUGGGGAUGCCAUCGUGUCUGUGCCAGGGAUGCCAUAUUCAUGCUAGGAGUGCCA
ensembl:lncRNA